rnacentral:rRNA from 1 species
UACGUAGGGUGCGAGCGUUAAUCGGAAUUACUGGGCGUAAAGCGUGCGCAGGCGGUAAUGUAAGACAGAUGUGAAAUCCCCGGGCUUAACCUGGGAAUUGCAUUUGAGACUGCGUAGCUAGGGUGCGGAAGAGGGAAGCGGAAUUUCCGGUGUAGCGGUGAAAUGCGUAGAUAUCGGAAGGAACACCAGUGGCGAAAGCGGCUUCCUGGUCCAGCACCGACGUUCAGGCACGAAAGCGUGGGGAGCAAACAGG